rnacentral:misc_RNA from 1 species
CCUUUCUAAGGAGCACCACGAAAACGCCCCAACUGGUGGGGCGUAGGCCGUGAGGGGUUCUUGUCUGUAGUGGGCGAGAGCCGGGUGCAUGACAACAAAGUUGGCCACCAACACACUGUUGGGUCCUGAGGCAACACUCGGACUUGUUCCAGGUGUUGUCCCACCGCCUUGGUGGUGGGGUGUGGUGUUUGAGAACUGGAUAGUGGUUGCGAGCAUA